rnacentral:lncRNA from 1 species
UUUUCCCUUUCUCUUCUUAUUAAUUAUCUUUUUUGAUGCAGUGGUCCUGGUCUGGAAUAAAUAGUCAAUACUUAUCUUAUAUGUGACACAAGUAUUGAUGGUGGCAUAGGUAUUGGAAAACUGGUUGCAGCUAGAAAAUUUCAUCGUUUCAAGUCCUAGUGUUGGAACUUUAUUUCUUAGAAACUAAUGCAGGCCUGAACC